AGGAGGACUUAGUGCAUGCAAUUGGCGAAAGUGCAGCAUUGGGGGCAGCAGGAGUAAUAUUGUGGGGAGGAUAUGAAUAUUCUGCUUCAAAGGAGAACUGCUUAUCUGUGCAGCAAUCUAUCCGAGGGCCUUUGGGCCAUUAUGCUGUGAAUGUGACAUCUGCAGCCAAGCUCUGCAGUCAGAGUCUAUGUAACAAUCAUGGAAGAGUAUUCGAAAAACACCUGAGUCCUCCUUCUAUCUGCAUAUGCCUGAAAGCAGUGUCAGGUCCCUCAGCUGCAGGUCUGUUGGAGUUUGCUGGAGGUCCAUUCCAGACCUUGUUUACCUGGGUAUCACCAGCGGAGGCUGCAGAACCGCAAGAAAAUCAGGAAUUUCUUCUUGGUUUGGAGCCAUUGCUGGACAUCCUUUGCCAUUCAACCUCUGAUUUGCACAAGGUGACUAAAGGACCAGCAGCAAACAAAAGCAAAGGUCUUCUAGAGUGCACUAAAGCAGAAGAUAACGUAACAUUUUUAUCUUACCAUGAAAGUAUUAUCUGAAGGACAGUUAAAGCUUUGUGUUGUUCAACCAGUACAUCUCACUUCAUGGCUCCUUAUAUUUUUUAUUCUAAAGUCUAUCUCUUGUCUAAAACCUGCUCGACUUCCAAUUUAUCAAAGGAAACCUUUUAUAGCUGCUUGGAAUGCUCCAACAGAUCAGUGUUUGAUAAAAUAUAA
rnacentral:lncRNA from 1 species